UGGGGAAUCUUGCACAAUGGAGGAAACUCUGAUGCAGCGACGCCGCGUGAGCGAUGAAGCCCUUCGGGGUGUAAAGCUCUUUCGACGGGAACGAUAAUGACGGUACCCGAAGAAGAAGCUGCGGCUAACUACGUGCCAGCAGCCGCGGUAAUACGUAGGCAGCAAGCGUUGUUCGGAAUUACUGGGCGUAAAGAGUGUGUAGGCGGUGCUCUAAGUCUGUUGUGAAAUCUCCCGGCUUAACUGGGAGGGUGCGGCGGAAACUGGAGUGCUUGAGUGUGGGAGAGGUAAGCGGAAUUCCUGGUGUAGCGGUGAAAUGCGUAGAUAUCAGGAGGAACACCUGUGGUGUAGACAGCUUACUGGACCAUUACUGACGCUGAGACACGAAAGCGUGGGUAGCAAACAGGAUUAGAUACCCCCGUAGUCC
rnacentral:rRNA from 1 species